GAUGAACGCUGGCGGCGUGCCUAAUACAUGCAAGUCGAGCGAACAGAUGAGGAGCUUGCUCCUCUGACGUUAGCGGCGGACGGGUGAGUAACACGUGGAUAACCUACCUAUAAGACUGGGAUAACUUCGGGAAACCGGAGCUAAUACCGGAUAAUAUAUUGAACCGCAUGGUUCAAUAGUGAAAGACGGUUUUGCUGUCACUUAUAGAUGGAUCCGCGCCGCAUUAGCUAGUUGGUAAGGUAACGGCUUACCAAGGCAACGAUGCGUAGCCGACCUGAGAGGGGGACGUGCCACAGGGGAAGGAGCAGAAGCUCCGGACCACAGCGGGACGGAGCGGCAGGGAAUUGGGCGUAAAGGUCGAAGAUCCGAAAGAGGAACGGGGCAUGAAGGAGGAAGGGGCUCGGAUCGUAAAAGACUGUUAGUAGGGCAAAACAAAGGUGUAAGUACAUAUGCCCAUCCUGACGGUACCUAAGCAGAAGGCCAGCGCUAACUACGUG
rnacentral:rRNA from 1 species